GUGGUCACUUCAGCAGUACAUAUAACAAAACUGGACCUAUACAGGGAAGAUGAGCAUGGCCCCUGCACAAGAAUGACAUGCAAAUUGCGAACUGUGCCCUAUUUUU